CCCUUAGAUGUCCUGGACCGCACGCGCGCUACACUGAUGCAUUCAACGAGUCUAAAACCUGCUCUGAUAGGGGUGGGUAAUCUUUUGAAUGUGCAUCGUGAUUGGGAUAGAUGAUUGCAAUUUUUCAUCUUCAACGAGGAAUGCCUAGUAAACGCAAGUCAUCAGCUUGCAUUGAUUACGUCCCUGCCCUUUGUACACACCGCCCGUCGCUCCUACCGAUUGAAUGAUCCGAUGAAUAUCAUGGAUUGAGGAUGCAAGCAGGUUCGCCUGUCUUCAUCUUCGAGAAGUGAAGUAAAUCUUAUCAUUUAGAGGAAGGAGAAGUCGUAACA
rnacentral:rRNA from 1 species